rnacentral:lncRNA from 1 species
CCAGACUUGUUGAAAGUCCAUAUUCGAUCAUCUGGAGUCUAGCUUUUACCUGCUAUUAAGGAUGUGAACAAGGAAAACAGGAUAUAUGCAAUGGAAAAAUUAGGGUUAGAUCGAAAAAUUAGAUAGAUCGCCCCAGGGUUCGAGAUGCCGAUCCCCGGCAACGGGGCCAGUAAAACUUGGUGACGGUAGUUAGCACGCCGUUUUGUGAACCGCAAGCGCAUGGAUCAUCAUAGCUUUUCUCUAAGAGUAUUCCAUCUAAGGUUUAUCAAUCCGUGGAUUGGCAGUGAACUGACUAAGGUUCUCUAUCUAGCUAAACUGAUCUAAUCCUAUCAUGAAGCAUGAAUUGCACAUAAAUGUAAGCCAAUCAUGAGAUAAGCAUUAUAGACAGGGUAAAUAGAUCACUUCCAUGUAUAUGUGAGGUAACACAACCAAGGGUAGCAUGAGCCUAUCAUCUUCUUGUUGUAGCUCCAGCCAAAGUGCUAAUCAAUCUCUCAGAAAGGCGGCUCGCAAGCGGCCUACAUUCUUAUGAUUGCCCUUUUGAGGUGCGUGCCUGGUUUCCCAAAGCUUUACCUCAACAACUCCCACAAUACUUGCCAUUGAUCCUACUCAACAUUACGCAAUCGUUCGGGCAUUUUCCUCCCACAUGCUAUCACCACACAAGAGUAAUCACACCGACUUCCUACGCACUAC